UAGGGGGCCGAAAUGAUGCAUGGCAGUGGGCGCUAGAGUGGAGCGGUGACUGUGGGUGUUGACUGAGUCUCUGCUCUAGUGGGGCUGAUGUGGGAGGCAGGGAUGAGGGCAAGAUUUCACGCACCCAUUGAAUUUUUUGUAGUGAGGGCUCUUGGUUGGCUUAUUUGCUGCACUUGUAGAGGAAUUGUCCAGGAGCAGCAGCCGGAGGAGAAAUUGGCAGACGUGGGCCUGAGGAGCCUGGACAUUCUUCUAAGGAGACAUGAACAGUCCUCAGCUUUCUGCCUCGUGCAUAACUGGCUGUGGGUUUGGUGUGUCUGACCAGAGUCGUCUGUGCAGAGUGACUAUUUCAGGUGUCGUCGCAAGGGGUGCUUUCUACUUGUAGUCAUAAAGGCGUGAUGGGAGGAGGGUUCAGGGCAGAGCCCCACCAUGUGGGAGAGGCGAAAAGAAGCGGCUACCCAACAUUGCCAAUUGAGAUGGUGACUGACUUGUUUUUCCGCUGGAUUUAGUACCAAGGGAAAAGAAGUGACAAGUCAGAGUCUACUGCCCUCAUGCAAUGGAAAGCGAGCGAGAGUGAUGGGACUGCGAGAAUUAUUGAUGCCUUGAAAAAGCCGUCCAACUGGGAAUGGAACAGUCAUCACUAUCAAUGAGAUAAGUGUCUGUUUGGGUGAUUGCUCUGCUCACGGGCCACCUUGCUCCUGAAAGGGAUGCCCCGUUUGCUGAGGCUGUGUUUGUAAGAAAAGGUUCCUGACUAGCUGUGGUUUUGAGAGACAGAGAGAAGAUCCCCAUUUUUAGUGGCUGCUCAGUUUUCUGGCCAGGAGCAGUGUGUCCUACGCAGCAGAAGGUUGCAUCUAGGAGAAUGAGUCCAGGACAUGGGCAGGAGUGCUACGUGUGCAUCCCCACAGGUCAGGUCUUGGGAGCCAUGGAGAAGUUGAAGCAGAGAAAAAUCAUGAGGGGCAGUUGGUUCUGAAGUGGAGCAGUGACUCUGUUUACCUGUCUCUGUUCAUGAAGUGGGGCUCAGGUAGAUGGCCUGGGAGAAGGAGGAUGGGAUGAGGACAGGUUGUCAUGCAUGAAUAGAACUUUUUGUACUGAUGGCUCAAUGAAUUGGUUUUGCAGCUGCACUUCCAGAGGAAGUGUCUAGGAACCCCAGCCCGAGGAGAAGCUGGCAGAAGUGGACCUGAUCAGUCUGAACAUCCUUCUAAACAGACAUGAGCAGUCCUCAGCUUUCUGCCUCCCACAUAACUACACUUCAUUACUUCAGCGGCACGGCUGAAGCCUAAGAUGAAUGCAGGGUAGAGGCUUAGCACGGAUGGCUGCUUGCCUUUAGAAAGGUGUAAUGGGAGAUGAGCGAAGAAGAACCUACACAACACUGCAGAUUCCGAUGGUAACUUCUGUUUGUCUGUGGUACUAAGCAAAACACAAGAGGGAGAAAGAAGUCAAGGGUAAGAGCCCACCCCCGUUGUAUGAUGGAAAGCACGCAAAAGCCGUGAGACAGCCAACAUUGUUGAUGCCAGGCUAUGCAGAUGCCGUCGAGCUGGAAGUGGAGCAGCUGUCACUAUCAGUGAGAUAAGUGUCUGGUUUGGUGAGGACUCUGGUAACGGCCCACCCGCCUCCAGGCUGGGACUUGUCGUUAGCAGGGGCUUGAUUUGAAGGAAAAGAUUCCUCAGUAGCUGUGGUUAGGAGGAAGACAAGGUCUCCAUUUUCAGGAGCUGGUCAUUUCUCCGUCCACAAGCAGUGUGUCCUCCGCAGGAGAAGGUUGGAUCCAGGGGGAUGACUCCAACUGGUGAGUUCUUUGCCUUCCUCCUGCGUUUCGCUCUCUUUCUUUGUCUCUCUCUCUCCUUUCUGUACUGUGUUCGCCGACACACACACACACACACUCUCUCUCUCUCUCUCUCUCUCCCCCCUUUCCUCUCCCUGUGCUGUCUCCCUUCCUAGGACAUGGGCAGGUGUGCUAGGGGUGCAUCCCCACAGGCUUGGUCUCGGGAACCAUGAAGAAGUAGGAAGGAACAGAAAUCAUGCAGGAUAGUGGAGUGGAGUGGUGACUGUCCAUGUUCACUCCAUCUGUGUUCAAGUGGGGCUGAUGUACAUGGAAUGGGAGAGGGAGGCAGGGAUGAGAGCCUUCAUAGAGCUCUGUGUAGUGAUAGUUCUUGCUUGGCUUUAUUAGUUUGCAGAGUAAUCGUCCAGGAGGUGUCUCCAGAGGAGAAACUGGCAGAGGUGGACCUGAACUGAACUGCCUGGACAUCCUUCUAAGGAGACAUGAAGGGUCCUCAGCUUUCUGCCUCUCAUUACCAAGGGAAAAGAAGUCAGAAGUCAGCGUCUACUGCCCUCAUGCGAUGGAAAGCGAGCGAGAGCGAUGGGAAUGAUUGAUGUCACAAAAAAGCUGUCCAAGUGGGAGUGGAACAGCCACCACUGUCAAUGAGGAAAGUGUCUGUUUUGGUGAUUGCUCUGCUCACAGCCCACCUUGCUCCUGAGGAAUUGUCCAGGAGCAGCAGUUGAAGGAGAAAGUGGCGGACGUGGACCUGAGGAGCCUGGACAUUCUUCUAAGCAGACAUGAAUGGUCCUCAGAUUUCUGCCUCCCGCACAACUGGCUGUGAGUAAGCGGUCAGUGCUUGGAAUCCCUCAUCUGUACUGGCUCCGGUCUUGUUCAGAGGCUCUGAAUUUCCUCAUUGGACAUGGUGCUUUGUGAGAUUCAGACGAGGCAAAGGCACAAGUCUCCCGUGCAGACACUAGGGGGAAAAACAAGAGUCCACUCCGUACAUGCCAUGGAAAGGGAGUGAGAACUGGGAGAUUCUAAGCAUUGUUGAUGCCAGGGAAGAGCCAUCCAGCUGGGAGUGGAGCAAGGACCACUGUCAGUGAGAUAAGUGUCUUGUUAGGUGAAGGCUCUGCUGUGGUUAUGAGGGAGACAAGGUCCCUAUUUUCAGGGGCUGCUCAGUCCUCUGGCCAGUA